GUGCAGAGGAAAUUAAAAGCUUAAACGGUGACAUGCUUAGUACACAAUAUCAUGGCAAACAAUUGGCAAAUAUAGUCAAGAGGUGCUGCACUUUUUUUUUUUUUAUUAAAAGUAGGAACAUGAGUUAAACAAGAUGUAAUAUAAAUCCAAUAACCAGCUUGGAGAAUAGUGUGUCGUAGUAUUAGUAUCAAGGCAUUGAUAUGGUUAUGCUUGAACAUGCAUGAGUGAGGGACAUAUAUUUUGUGCAGUAACGACAGGUCUGAACAGUCAUAACACAUGCUUAUAUCACAGAUUUAGAGAGCAGUCCUGUACUUAGUUAGUCAUAGGCAAUUAUAAAAAAC